rnacentral:rRNA from 1 species
UACAGAGGGGGCAAGCGUUGUUCGGAAUUACUGGGCGUAAAGGGCGCGUAGGUGGCCUUCUAAGUCAUGCGUGAAAUCCCCAGGCUUAACCUGGGAACUGCGUCUGAUACUGGAUGGCUUGAAUUCGGGAGAGGGAUGCAGAAUUCCAGGUGUAGCGGUGAAAUGCGUAGAUAUCUGGAGGAAUACCGGUGGCGAAGGCGGCAUCCUGGACCGAGAUUGACACUGAUGAGCGAAAGCCAGGGGAGCAAACGGG